GAUGAACGCUGGCGGCGUGCCUAAUACAUGCAAGUCGAGCGGUAAGGCCUCUUCGGAGGUACACGAGCGGCGGACGGCUGAGUAACACGUAGGAACGUACCCCAAAGUGAGGGAUAACUGCUCGAAAGAGUAGCUAAUACCGCAUGUGAUCCACGGAUUAAAGCUUUAUGCGCUUUGGGAACGGCCUGCGUUCGAUUAGCUAGAUGGUAGUGUAAUGGACUACCAUGGCGACGAUCGAUAGCUGGUCUGAGAGGAUGAUCAGCCAGACUGGGACUGAGACACGGCCCAGACUCCUACGGGAGGCAGCAGUAGGGAAUUUUCCACAAUGGGCGAAAGUCUGAUGGAGCAACGCCGCGUGCAGGAUGAAUGCCUAGGGUUGUAAACUGCUUUUAUUAGUGACGAUUAUGACGGUAACUAAUGAAUAAGGACCUGCUAACUACGUGCCAGCCGCCGCUGUAA
rnacentral:rRNA from 1 species